AACGAACGCUGGCGGCAUGCCUAACACAUGCAAGUCGAACGAGACCUUCGGGUCUAGUGGCGCACGGGUGCGUAACGCGUGGGAAUCUGCCCUUCGGUUCGGAACAACAGUUAGAAAUGACUGCUAAUACCGGAUAAUGACGUAAGUCCAAAGAUUUAUCGCCGAAGGAUGAGCCCGCGUAAGAUUAGGUAGUUGGUGGGGUAAAUGGCCUACCAAGCCGACGAUCUUUAGCUGGUCUGAGAGGAUGAUCAGCCACACUGGGACUGAGACACGGCCCAGACUCCUACGGGAGGCAGCAGUGGGGAAUAUUGGACAAUGGGCGAAAGCCUGAUCCAGCAAUGCCGCGUGAGUGAUGAAGGCCUUAGGGUUGUAAAGCUCUUUUACCAGGGAUGAUAAUGACAGUACCUGGAGAAUAAGCUCCGGCUAACUCCGUGCCAGCAGCCGCGGUAAU
rnacentral:rRNA from 1 species